CAAUCCUGGUGGCGAGUGGCGAACGGGUGAGUAAUAUAUCGGAACGUGCCCAGUCGUGGGGGAUAACGCAGCGAAAGCUGUGCUAAUACCGCAUACGAUCUCUGGAUGAAAGCGGGGGACUCAGCAAUGAGCCUCGCGCGAUUGGAGCGGCCGAUAUCAGAUUAGCUAGUUGGUGGGGUAAAAGCUCACCAAGGCGACGAUCUGUAGCUGGUCUGAGAGGACGACCAGCCACACUGGAACUGAGACACGGUCCAGACUCCUACGGGAGGCAGCAGUGGGGAAUUUUGGACAAUGGGCGCAAGCCUGAUCCAGCAAUGCCGCGUGCAGGAUGAAGGCCUUCGGGUUGUAAACUGCUUUUGUACGGAACGAAACGGUCUUCUCUAAUAGAGGAGGCUAAUGACGGUACCGUAAGAAUAAGCACCGGCUAACUACGUGCCAGCAGCCGCGGUAAUACGUAGGGUGCGAGCGUUAAUCGGAAUUACUGGGCGUAAAGCGUGCGCAGGCGGUGAUGUAAGACAGAUGUGAAAUCCCCGGGCUCAACCUGGGACCUGCAUUUGUGACUGCAUCGCUAGAGUACGGUAGAGGGGGAUGGAAUUCCGCGUGUAGCAGUGAAAUGCGUAGAUAUGCGGAGGAACACCGAUGGCGAAGGCAAUCCCCUGGACCUGUACUGACGCUCAUGCACGAAAGCGUGGGGAGCAAA
rnacentral:rRNA from 1 species